GACCCAGUAGUGAAAUAAAUCGCACCGGCGCAGCAUGUAGGUCAUUGCUAUAAGCUUUAAAGCCGGAGAUCCUGGUUCGAAUCCAGGCUGGGUCA